GAGACCUCAGGUCAGGCGGGCCUACCCGCUGAGUUUAAGCAUAUCAAUAAGCGGAGGAAAAG
rnacentral:rRNA from 1 species